UACGUAGGGUGCAAGCGUUAAUCGGAAUUACUGGGCGUAAAGGGUGCGUAGGCCGCACGGUAAGUCAGAGGUGAAAUCCCGGGGCUCAACCCCGGAAUGGCCUCCGAUACUGCCGUGCUCGAGGACUGGAGAGGAGUCUGGAAUUCACAGUGGAGCAGUGAAAUGCGUGGAUAUUGUGAGGAACACUAGUGGCGAAGGCGAGACUCUGGGA
rnacentral:rRNA from 1 species